rnacentral:rRNA from 1 species
AAUACGUGGCAAACGGCUCAGUAACACGUAGUCAACAUGCCCAGGGGACGUGGAUAACCUCGGGAAACUGAGGAUAAACCGCGAUAGGCCAUGAUUUCUGGAAUGGUUCAUGGCCGAAAUCUAUAUGGCCCCUGGAUUGGACUGCGGCCGAUCAGGCUGUUGGUGAGGUAAUGGCCCACCAAACCUGUAACCGGUACGGGCUCUGAGAGGAGGAGCCCGGAGAUGGGCACUGAGACAAGGGCCCAGGCCCUAUGGGGCGCAGCAGGCGCGAAAUCUCUGCAAUAGGCGAAAGCUUGACAGGGUUACUCUGAGUGAUUCCCGCUAAGGGGAUCUUUUGGCACCUUUAAAAAUGGUGCAGAAUAAGGGGUGGGCAAGUCUGGUGUCAGCCGCCGCGGUAAUACCAGCACCCCGAGUGGUCGGGACGAUUAUUGGGCCUAAAGCAUCCGUAGCCGGUACUGCAAGUCUUCCGUUAAAUCCACCUGCUUAACAGUUGGGCUGCGGGGGAUACUACAGCGCUAGGAGGCGGGAGAGGCAAGCGGUACUCAAUGGGUAGGGGUAAAAUCCGCUGAUCCAUUGAAGACCACCAGUGGCGAAGGCGGCUUGCCAGAACGCGCUCGACGGUGAGGGAUGAAAGCUGGGGGAGCAAACCGGAUUAGAUACCCGGGUAGUCCCAGCUGUAAACGAUGCAGACUCGGUGAUGGGCUGGCCUUGUGCCAGCCCAGUGCCGCAGGGAAGCCGUUAAGUCUGCCGCCUGGGGAGUACGGUCGCAAGACUGAAACUUAAAGGAAUUGGCGGGGGAGCACCACAAGGGGUGAAGCCUGCGGUUCAAUUGGAUUCAACGCCGGG